UACGUAGGGUGCGAGCGUUGUCCGGAAUUACUGGGCGUAAAGAGCACGUAGGUGGUUUGUCGCGUUGUCCGUGAAAACUCACAACUCAAUUGUGGGCGUGCGGGCGAUACGGGCAGACUGGAGUACUGCAGGGGAGACUGGAAUUCCUGGUGUAGCGGUGGAAUGCGCAGAUAUCAGGAGGAACACCGGUGGCGAAGGCGGGUCUCUGGGCAGUAACUGACGCUGAGGAGCGAAAGCGUGGGGAGCGAACAGG
rnacentral:rRNA from 1 species